AAUUCAGUGUUGGUUUUCUAUUUUGUUUUCCCUUUGAUAAAGUUUCGUUUUAUUAAGAGAAACGCAGAAUUGUGAGCUAUGGUGCUUAUAGUUUCGGACCAUAUACAUCCAAUCUGUCGUUGAAAUCGAUCCCAUUAAGUCUAACUGUCGUUGAAAUCGAUCUAACGAUCCCAUUAAGUCUAACUGUCGUUGAAAUCGAUCUCCAUGUUAGAUCUCGGUAAAACUAAAUCUCAACCUUUUAAACUCCUAAUUUUAACCGGUUGUCGUAAACUCAAUUUCAUCCGUUAUAUCUUCACAUUUCACAUGGAGGAUACUUUGAAAGAUCAAUCGUCUGUUUCUGUUUCUGGAAACAAGAGAGGAGAAUGGGCUAAACUUCUUUGGUAUCCACUCCGAUCAGCCACCAAAUCCGAGGAUGAAAAGUUUCUUGAAUCCGUCCCGUCAACUGCUUCAAUGUCUAGAAGGUUUAUUUUGGUUCCAGUAACUAUAUUGUGUUUUAUACGCUUGACUUUUCAUUAGUUUAUGCAUCUGUUUGGCUAUCUGUGUGCGUUGUUGCUUUAAUUAUCAUUGGAGAAGGUUUAAUUAGUUCUA